GACGAACGCUGGCGGCGUGCUUAACACAUGCAAGUCGAACGGAAAGGCCCGGCGUUUGUGGGUCGCUCGUGUGCCGAAGGGGGGAGUAACACGCGUGUAACCCGCACUUAUCUUAGUGAUAACAUCACGAAAAAGGGGCUAAUACCGCAUAGGAUAUUCUGCACCGCGGGGGUGGAAGGAAAGUUUCGGCGGUGGGGGCUGGACUCGCGGCUUAUCAGCUUGUUUGGGGAGUAGUGGCGGACCAAGGCUUUGACGGAUAGCCGGCCUGAGAGGGUGGCCGGCGACCUUGGGACUGAGAUACGCCGCAGACUCGUACCGGACGCAGCAGUGGGGAGUAUUGCACAGUGGGCGGACGCCUGAUGCAGCAACGCCGGGUGCGGGAUGACGGCCUUCGAGUUGUGAACCGCUGUCGCCUGUGACGAAGCGUGAGUGACGGUAAUGGGUAAGGAAGCACCGGCUAACUACGUG
rnacentral:rRNA from 1 species